GUCCUUGUGCUCGGGAAUUACGCAUAUCAGUGAAGACUUAUGUCUGAGGUUGUGUAUUUGCUGGUUGAAAAUUUUUAACCACGACCGCUUCUUUCGAACCGCUGUGGAAGCCUGGCCAAGCUGACAGCUCCUGAGCUGUCAACUCUGGCUGGUUCCGUGUUCUUAAGGGAAUUUUUGGAAACUCUUCUUUCGUG
rfam:Cyberlindnera jadinii strain CBS1600 genome assembly, contig: CJ5